rnacentral:rRNA from 1 species
UACGAAGGGUGCAAGCGUUACUCGGAAUUACUGGGCGUAAAGCGUGCGUAGGCGGUUUGUUAAGUCCGCUGUGAAAGCCCUGGGCUCAACCUGGGAAUUGCAUUUGAGACUGCGUAGCUAGGGUGCGGAAGAGGGAAGCGGAAUUUCCGGUGUAGCGGUGAAAUGCGUAGAUAUCGGAAGGAACACCGGCGGCGAAAGCGGCUUCCUGGUCCAGCACCGACGUUCAGGCGCGAAAGCGUGGGGAGCAAACAGG